rnacentral:rRNA from 1 species
GGGCCCGCACAAGCGGUGGAGCAUGUGGUUUAAUUCGAUGCAACGCGAAGAACCUUACCAGGGCUUGACAUACUGCGAAUCUACCUGAAAGGGAAGAGUGCCUUCGGGAAUGCAGAUACAGGUGGUGCAUGGCUGUCGUCAGCUCGUGUCGUGAGAUGUUGGGUUAAGUCCCGCAACGAGCGCAACCCUUGUUUUUAGUUACCAACUUGUUGGGUUUUCUAGAAAGACUGCCGGUGACAAACCGGAGGAAGGUGAGGAUGACGUCAAGUCAGCAUGCCCCUUAUGUCCUGGGCUACACACGUGCUACAAUGGUUUGGACAAAGAGUCGCAAGUUUGCGAAAACAAGCUAAUCUCGUAAACCAAACCUAAGUUCAGAUUGUAGGCUGCAACUCGCCUACAUGAAGUUGGAAUCGCUAGUAAUCG